rnacentral:rRNA from 1 species
AUUGAACGCUGGCGGCAGGCUUAACACAUGCAAGUCGAGCGAGCGGCAGACGGGUGAGUAAUGUCUGGGAAACUGCCUGAUGGAGGGGGAUAACUACUGGACACGGUAGCUAAUACCGCAUACCAUCAGAUGUGCCCAGAUGGGAUUCGCUAGUAGGUGGUGUAAUGGCUCACCUAGGCUACGAUCCCUAGCUGGUCUGAGAGGAUCACCAGCCACACGGGAACUGAGACACGGUCCAGACUCCUACGGUAGGCGGCAGUGGGGAAUAUUGCACAAUGGGGGCAAGCCUGAUGCAGACAUGCCGCGUGUGUGAAGAAGGCCUUAGGGUUGUAAAGUACUUUCAGCGGGGAGGCGUUACCCGCAGAAGAAGCACCGGCUAACUCCGUGCCAGCCGCCGCGGUAAUUC